GCGCCAAUCACAAAACAGAAUUAGUGGUUUAGUACUAAAACCACUAAUUCUGUUUUGUGAUUGGCGC